CAGCAGCCGCGGGAAUACGAAGGGUGCAAGCGUUAAUCGGAAUUACUGGGCGUAAAGCGUGCGUAGGUGGUGGUUUAAGUCCGUUGUGAAAGCCCUGGGCUCAACCUGGGAAUUGCAGUGGAUACUGGGUCACUAGAGUGUGGUAGAGGAUAGUGGAAUUUCCGGUGUAGCAGUGAAAUGCGUAGAGAUCGGAAGGAACAUCUGUGGCGAAGGCGACUAUCUGGGCCAACACUGACACUGAGGCACGAAAGCGUGGGGAGCAAACAGGAUUAGAUACCCCCGUAGUCCCUGUCUCUUAUAC
rnacentral:rRNA from 1 species